GGUGAUGUGUGCUGGCUUCCACGGGCUGUCGGAGGGCAAUGCUGGCUGGGGCCUGUGACCACACAGAUCUCCAGAAGGAAGCGCUCCGAUCUGUGGCAUCAUGUACAGAGAAAGUUGGGAGGGAUGUCUCCUGCUGUGGGUGUUCGUGAGUGAGUUUCAGAUGGGUUAUGUUCAGUGCAGGUGGUCUGGAAGACAGCCCUGGUACCCUGUGUAGAAUUUCCUGGCAGUGGAGUCACUGCACAGCUGUAUUUAAGUUUAGUUUAUGCACCAGCAGAGAAGAGCUAUUAGAUUUGUUAAUGUGACUUUUUCACAUUAGGGACCAAUCCCAUCCCUGGGAUAUUAAAACUCUUUCAGUCAUGACAGUAAAAAGAUCUUAAUGAAAUGCAGUUUUGUAACCACUGAUAUGUUUUAAUGUGUGGAUUCCUGGGGUGAUUCUGCUGAAAUAACAUCACUUGAAUAAACAAGAUCUCCAGAAAAAAAGUAAUCAUCGUAAUUAAUUUGCAGAUGUUUAGAUCCUCAUUUAUUAUAAUUGUUUUCUAGAGCCUGGUGGUUGGCUGUUUGACCUUUAGAAGACAACAUGGGUGGAAAGUACAUUUUCAAACGCUUAAAACCCCACAGUGAAAUAAGACUAGUGGAUAUAGAGACUGAAACAGUGGGAAAGCAGAGAAGCAGGGCUCUCAGGAAGGGACAGUGGUAAGGUCUGGUCUGUGAGCAAAUGAUGAUGAAGGAACUGUAUGCUCUUCCUAAUGAGGUAUAUUCAUUCAUGGAAGGAGGUUUGGCUGUCCUAUGAAGCAGGCAUCUAUGAAAGAUGAAGAGGAGCUAAAGGAAAGGGCAAGAGUUCUGUCCUGGUUUGGGAUUAUAUUAUUGCAUGGUGCUGCUUUUGCCAGGGGUAGUACAGGCUCACAUUUCACCUUGAUCACACGAAACUCACUGCUUUUCUGUUGGCAAGACCAGAGCAUGUGGUGUGGCUGUUACAGCGUGGUUAUUGUGUUUGCUGCUGGGAAGUGUGAUUUCUUUCCCCUUUUUCAUUUGGAGCAGGGCUUGUGUCCAAAUUUACUGUGUAGCAUAUAGGAAUGCUGAGAUAGCCAGGAUCUUGGAAAGCUGUUGUGAAACAUACCUUGGCAUAAAGAUAUUUCUCAGUUGUUUGUUUACUGUAUCUUUGCAGUGUAAACUGUUAAUAAGUACUUUGGUUUGUUAUUCUGUUUAUUUUUUUUUAAAUCACAAUUACCUCUUCCAGUAAUUUGUUUUCAUAUUAUUUAAUAAAUCAAGAACAGUCUUGCUUCCAUACUGAAAGGAGAAGUUAUUCCCUGGUGGCAUUGUGUGUACCUACAGAAGUGUUCCAUCUUCACUGAUGGGAUGCAUUUUUGUACAGUGCAGACCUGAAACCACUGCAGCUCACCAUGUGCACACACACCUGCUUUGCUGGAUGAGCUUGGGAACAUUUAUGUCAUGAAGUUCUUGUCCACAUUGGAGCAGGAACAACAUAAAACUACUCUUGUUUGUAGCAAAAAGCACGAAGUAGGCAACAGACACUAAUGUUUACAAAUGAGAGAAAACAAGAAAGGAUCUGCAAAACAAGAAGCAAACAUGUUCAGGAUGAAGAAAGGUAAUCUCUAAAAUAAAAAAGUAUUUGUGAACUGUGCUGCUGCGAUAGCCUCAAAGGACAACAUGCAAGUGUUCAGCAGGAGGUGAAAUCAGCCAAGCUGCAGUGGUGGCUAGUGGAGAGAAGAGGACACAGAUAACAGCAUGAGUCACUGAUGAGAUGCAAUUUAUAAAAGCCUUCGAUACUGUCAGCUGGGGCCAAGGGCUCUCGAAGCAAUGCCGGACUGGCCCGCCUGGUGGCAAACUGCUUUCACUGGAAGUGCCUCUCCGUUUAGGAGGUUUGGGAACAACAAACGUGCUCACUGGGAUUUCAGACUGUAAUCUCAUCACUGUGCAUUUUUAAGUUUUCAGGGACGUGCUUAUCCCUCUCAAAUAGCAAUGUUUCCUCUCUCAGAUACUGUCGCGGAGUCCGUGCUGCGGAGAUAGCGUCUGUGUCUCAAACUUCACAGAGUUUCUGGGGGGUUCUUCAUCUUCUCCCUGUAGUCCUGGAACUGCAGAAAUCAAUAUUCUGCCAUCUGUAAAUCCUUUGUUCCCCUUUUCACCAGGGCUUUAUCAGCUUUGUAAGUGAAGGAGGGAGGGGGGAAGAGGGCGUUGAGAGAGCCAUUGUCCCUUCUCUCGGGAAUGAUCUGGAAGUACUAUGCAAAUCUUCAUUUGAAGACCCUGGGAACUGGGGGAGGGCUUUAGCUGCGAGCUCAGUAGGAGGGGAGCUCUGCAUCCCUGCUCACGCACUCCUGCCUAGUGCAAGGGGCUGGGAAGAGUUUUUUGAACUGGCAGAAGAAACAUUUUGUGCUUUGUGCACUUCUGUGAGGCUUUGCGCUCCUUAUGUCUCCUGCUUUGUGCCUUUCUCUGCCUGCUUCUUCUAAAUGUUUGCAUAAGAAUUGGGUAGGGGAGAGAUCUAAGAGCUGCGAUUAGCAGUGAUGAAGUCAGGACGGUGCAGAGUGCAGCACCCCUCCUGCCUGGCACCCAGCGGUGGAGCAGCUCCAGUGGUGCUCACACACUAUCGCCUGGCUGCUGGCAUUAGCAUAGAGCACAGAUGCAGUUUCAGUAGGCAAAUAGCUCAGCUGGUCAGGAGUAGUGGAGUAAAAUAGUUUGCAGUUCUCAAAUUAUCACGUUGUAGCCAGGUCUUAAAAAGCCUCCUCUUAUGGGGCAAAAACUCACAGACCAGUACCUGCUUUAUGAAAGCCUGCAGUCUGUCCUGGCUUGGCUCAGCUCUGUCACCUGUUUUAUAUUAGGGCAGGGUCACACUAACUGCCAGUUUCCUGGAAGCUGUGUAGGGUCCUUCUUAGGCCUCAUGGAAGGGGAAGUACCCUGACUGCAUAGACACACGGGUGAACAGGGCAGCGGGGGAGAGAAAGUACAGAUUCAUAUCUAGGCAUUGUUGUGUUUGUAAGCUACUGUGAAGGCAGUCAUAACCUUUCUGAUCUUCUGACUUUCAUUUUCAUGGCAUCAGUUCCAUUGUUUAUUUUUAAAACUUUGAGGGGUUUUGUGUUCCAGCAAGCUAAAAAUUACUUUUGA